rnacentral:tRNA from 1 species
GCGAUAGUAGCUCAGUUGGUAGAGCAUCAGCUUCCCAAGCUGAGGGUCACGAGUUCGAGCCUCGCCUAUCGCUCCA